AUUGAACGCUGGCGGCAUGCUUUACACAUGCGAGUCGAACGGUAACAGGGUGCUUGCACCGCUGACGAGUGGCGAACGGGUGAGUAAUGCGUCGGAACGUGCCGAGUAGUGGGGGAUAACGCAGCGAAAGUUGUGCUAAUACCGCAUACGUACUGAGGUAGAAAGUGGGGGACCUUCGGGCCUCACGCUAUUCGAGCGACCGACGUCUGAUUAGCUAGUAGGUGAGGUAAAGGCUCACCUAGGCGACGAUCAGUAGCGGGUCUGAGAGGAUGAGCCGCAACACUGGGACUGAGACACGGCCCAGACUCCUACGGGAGGCAGCAGUGGGGAAUUUUGGACAAUGGGCGAAAGCCUGAUCCAGCCAUGCCGCGUGUCUGAAGAAGGCCUUCGGGUUGUAAAGGACUUUUGUCGGGGAGGAAAUCCCUAGUGCUAAUAACACUGGGGGAUGACAGUACCUGAAGAAUAAGCACCGGCUAACUACGUGCCAGCCGCCGCAGUAA
rnacentral:rRNA from 1 species